GCGUGGAGUUGGCAGGCUGGCGUUGGGCUCCUGGCCGCUCGGGUGCCCUGGCGUCAUCGCUCGGGCACCCACUUUCCUUGGGGCUGCGCCCUUGACAGCCCUGGCGCGCCACUAGGCAACAGACAGGGGUCCCCACCCCCGGCCCCUCAGGGGUCCUGCAAGGGAGGAGAGCGGCCGGGGCCACCCGCCUCCCCUGUGGUUACUGUCCCGGGGGCCUUGGAGCCUCGGCUUCCCUUUUGCCAACUUCAGAACUCGCCUGCGCCUUUGUUACCUUUUUUAUUAGCAAAAUGAAAACCCAUUUGUCCCGGAACAUUGAUGCAAACUCCCCUAGAUCUAAACUUGAGGACCUGAUACUUACUGAUGGGCCCGGAUAGAGCAAAACCAGCUCCCCUUGAUUCGUCAGAGACCCCCAGGGUUUUGUGAUCACUAAUAAGUUACCUAGUUGCAGACUCUCAGCAAGUUGCCAACAGGGCCAUGCAGAAAAGGAGAGAAUGGGGAAAACUUAAUGUUCUUUUACUUCCAGGGUGGCGUCUUGGCAGCCGGGCAGGAGGCAGUGGUGAGGGACCAAGAGGGACUGAAAAGGCCCCACAGCUGGGAACUGACCCUCUGCCUGCCUCCUGAAAGAUGACAUCUGUUGAAUGGCUUUUAUGUGCCAGGUACCACCCAAAGCUCCAGAGUAGCAAAGAUGAAUGAGCUGUAUUUCUUCUCCACAAGUAAUCACAUUGCAUCUCAAUGUGGACAAAGUGCACAACAAUUUUGUUGGCUGUUCUGGAGUCCAGUAUAUUUGCUUGACCUCUGUGGAAUUCGGUCCAGGGCACAUGAGUCAGAUAAAGGCGGACAGGACUGUCGUGGUCUACAUCUUCCCCCAACAUUUGCCAAGCCUGUCUUUGCUCGCUUUGCGGUUUCCUGAUUCCAGUGGGGGCUGUCUCUGGGCCCCUCUGGCACCCUGCGUGCAUAGGAUGUUCCAGUGGGACAAGGUCUGAAGAGCAUGGUUGGGGGGCCGGGGGGAGGCCAGAGACCCUCUGCUUUUGUUUCCCUCUGCCAAGUCCCUAUUGCUCUGGGGUGCUGGAAGCACGUCUGAUAAGGCUGAGGAAGAACCAGAGAGUUGGGGCGCGCGUUCUCAUCCCCCCAGCUAAAUGAGCAUCCCUCACUGCUACCAUGCAGUGAUCUGUAGCCAGUUCACCACUGACUUUAGACCCGUGACAGUCAGCUGUUGGUGCGACAAAAGGGGAGGCCCUCGCGCCUUCCCGGGGCUCAGCCUCUGACCCCGAUGGGUGUCACAGUUGCUGGAUUGCGUCCCCUGCCUAAGACUAGCUGGGGAUCCUCCAGUCUUUGCUAGCAGACCCACCCCACCUCCAGGCCCCUCUCUGCACAUGCCCUCACUGUGUGUCCCUGUCUUGCUUGGAAGUCGGGGCCCCUGGCCAGGCUGCCCGUGUGAGGGUGCCAGUCUCUGGUGCCAUCUCUGCCUUGUGAGCAGUCCCCUCUAACCUAGGCUGGUGGCCGGGUCCUCUGGCGUUCAGGAACCUGGUGUCACUUUCUCCGCCUGCUCAACCUCCCCUGGGGCAGGAGGUGUGAGAGGGGAGUCCCCCCAAGGGGGCAGGGAGAAAAAGGGGGGCCACGUGGACAACAAAGACACAUUAGUUACUUCAAAGAGUUUCCUGCCACAGGAGCCAAAGUGCCAGUAGAGAAGAGGCCCCUCCCCAAAAUUCAGAAAAAACAUUUCUACCUUAAAAAUAAGCGUUGGCGACUGACACAGAUUCCCGGCA